GUGAGGAAUAUUGGGCAAUGGGGGAAACCCUGACCCAGCAACGCCGCGUGAAGGAAGAAGGCUUUCGGGUUGUAAACUUCUUUUAUGAGGGACGAAGAAGUGACGGUACCUCAUGAAUAAGCCACGGCUAACUACGUGCCAGCAGCCGCGGUAAUACGUAGGUGGCAAGCGUUGUCCGGAUUUACUGGGUGUAAAGGGCGCGUAGGCGGGAUAGCAAGUCAGGUGUGAAAUCCGGGGGCUCAACCCUCGAACUGCACUUGAAACUGUUAUUCUUGAGUGAUGGAGAGGCAGGCGGAAUUCCUAGUGUAGCGGUGAAAUGCGUAGAUAUUAGGAGGAACACCAGUGGCGAAGGCGGCCUGCUGGACAUUAACUGACGCUGAGGCGCGAAAGCGUGGGGAGCAAACAGGAUUAGAAACCCGGGUAGUCC
rnacentral:rRNA from 1 species